UACGGGGGGGGGCAAGCGUUGUUCGGAAUUACUGGGCGUAAAGGGCUCGUAGGGGGCCAACUAAGUCAUACGUGAAAUCCCUCAGCUUAACUGGGGAACUGCGCCUGAUACUGGUUGGCUUGAGUUUGGGAGAGGGACGCGGAAUUCCAGGUGUAGCGGUGAAAUGCGUAGAUAUCUGGAGGAACACCGGUGGCGAAGGCGGCGUCCUGGACCAAUACUGACACUGAGGAGCGAAAGCCAGGGGAGCAAACGGG
rnacentral:rRNA from 1 species